AGCUCUCUUCAAUGUGUGCCAUGUUUUCUAUCUGUCCUUGGUAUCCAACACUUCCAGACAGAUCUGUUCCAGUGCAGAGAACAAGCCCCUGAUGAAGAAUCCAACCUCAAUUCUUGGGGGUAGCAGUGAUGAUGCAGAGGGUAUUGGAAAACCCAAGUGAGAGGGAGGAUGGAACAAAGUCCCAGCUGUGUUCAGGGGUGAGAAGAGAUGUUGAACUGGAGGGACACUGCUGGACAGGGCUUAUUUCUUCCCCAGGGUUCAGAUUCAAAGUGCAGCACAGAUACUCCUGCUGCAUGUUUUACUGCCCCAGGCUUGGGAAACUGGUGCAAGAAUGAAACCACAGAGUGCUUCUGCAUUUGUGUUGUGGCUUCUGCUGGCUGCUUAGCCCUGUUCAGAUAGAUCCAAGCUGAAGCUGAAACAGUGAUAAGUCUGGCACAAGAGCGAAUCAUGUCAACUGGCUUAUACAUACAUUUUUUGGCAGAUGAAAAUAAUCAACUAAGGAAGGUCUUCAGCUCAAAAAGCAUCUUCCCUGAGAGUGCUAGCCAGGAGUGGCUGCUUUUAAAACCACCUAAACUUCAUAGCCUGCUACUACAGGGACAAUGAAAAGCAAGGCUGAAGGACGGUGUCUGCAACUGUUCAGGGAAGUCCAAGGACCAUGCUGCAAGACUCACAGCUACUCUUUCAGCUCCCUCCAUUUAGAAAGGCACAUCUUCAGAAAAAACCCACAUCCUUUCUGUCCAAAUUUUUAACAUACUGCCAAAACAGGGUGACUACUCUGAAAGCAACAUCAAGACACAGCCACAGUUUGGUA